GAAAGGCCACAUUUUCUGGAAGAGACCAUAGAAUUUUCAAAGUUCAACGAGUUUGAUGUGACCAAUCUAUAUGAUGUCUUCUACUUGUCAAAAACUUGAGAAUAUAUUUUGAAAUUUUAUCAACAGCCUAAAUGAUCAUGACUUUUAGUGUGAAUUAUGAAAAGAAGAUUAUGGUAAAGCCAAAAUGAUUCAAAAGAAUUUUUACAUUUUGAAUGUAAAGAAGGCUGAGAUUUUUUUGAAAUUGGUACAUAAUUAUAGGGCACCUAUGUGCUAUUUUCAACAAAAAGACAAAAAUUAUAUAACCCCCAAAUAUACCAUUAGAUUGAUGUAAUUUCUUAUCAUUCUCUUUCAUUAGAAUUAGAUAAAAGUGGUAUAAAAGAUAAACUUUAAUAUUUAUGAUUAAAUGGUUUUAGACAAAGAGGCCAAGACAAGUAAAUGAGGAAUAAAAUUCUUUUCAAUAAAUGAUGUGACAACAGGCUAUCUGCAUGCAAGAAAGAAUUUAGACUCCUCACACCAUACACAAAAAUUAACUCACAGUGAAUCAGAGGCACCCAUGUUAGAGCUAAAACUAUAAAAAAGAAGAAAACACAAGAGUAAAUACUUAUGAUCUUGAGUUAGUGAUUUUUUUAAAUGUGGAACCAAAAACACAAGUGCUAAAAGAUUGAAAAAAUGUAACUUCAUCAAAUUAAGAACUUUUGUGCCCCACUGUAUACUGCCAAGAAAACAAAAAGACAACCAACAGAAUGGGGGAAAAUAUUUACAAAGUAUAGUUCUGUUAAGAGACCUAUAGUUAGGAUAUAUAAAUGAUUCUUAAAAACAAUUAAAAGACAACCAAGUUUUUUAAAUGUACAAAGGGUUUGAAUAGAUAUUAAUCCAAAGAGGAUGGCUAAGCAAAUGAAAACAUGCUGACCUCAUUAGUCAUUAGGGAAAUGCUGAUCAAAACCCUGUGGCACCACUUCAUACCCACUAGAGUGACUACAGUAAAGUGCUGGUGAAAAUGUUGAGAAACUGAAACUCUUACUUAUUGCUGGUGAGAAUGAAAGAUGGUACAGCCGCUUUGGAAAACAGGUUAGCAUUUCCUCAAAAUGUUAAAUAUAGAGUUAACAUAUGAGCCAGAAAUUUCACUCUUAAGUAUUUACCCAAGAGAAAUUAAAACACAUCCUCAUACAAACACUUGUACACAGCAGCAUUAUUCAUAAUAGCUAAAAAGUGGAAGUAAUCCAGCUGUCUAUAACUUGAUAAAUGGAUAAAUACAAUGUGGUGUAGCCAUAAAAUAGAGUAUUGUUAAACAAUAAAAAUGUAGUACCAAUACAGGUUGCAACAUGGAAGAACCUCAAAAACAUAUAAAAUGAAAAAACGCCAGUCACAGAAGAACACAUAUUGUGUAAUGCCACUUAUAAGUAAUAUCUAGCAUAGGCAAAUAUAUAGAGACAGAAAGUAGAUUAGUGGUUGACUGGGGGCUGCAGGGAAGGGGGAUGAAAUGGGGGGGGCAUGGAUAGGGAGUAACUGCUAAAAGGUACAAGAUUUCUCUUCAAGAUGGUGAAAAUAUUCUAAAAUUACGUUGUGGUGGUUGUAGAAGUCUAUAAAUAUACUAAAAACUAUUUAAUUGUACAUUUUAAAAGCGUGAACUUUGUGGUAUGUAAAGCAUAUCUCAAUAAAAUAUUUUUUCUAAGGCAUUAAAAGUGAAUAACUUUUGAGCAACUGGAGAAGAAACCAGAGAUUACAAGGACCCAUACUGAGUUUACUAAAAGUAGAUCGAAUUGGACUAACCUCCUUUUAUCACAAGUGAGGCUACUCAUUUAUUAGAUUGGGGGAGGCUGUUAACCUAGUUAAUGCAUCUGGAUUUUAUUAAGGUACAUUAGCAAGGUCUCUCAUCAUGUCCCGUUGACAAUUGAAUUAUUAUGAGAAAUAAGGUUUGAAGUCAUGGAGAGUUUGAUGGAUUCAUAACAUAAUAAAAGGGGCUGAUUAAUGAAUAUAUAUCAUUGUUAGAGGGAUACAAAGUUGUGAGAUUCAGUAUUAUGUAUUAAAUAUUAUUCUGUUUUGCAUUUUUAUCAAUGCCUUGGUUGAUGAAUGAUCAUUGAGAAUAAUCACUUAUUGAAUCCUAGCAGCAAAAUGCUAUCAUUGACAAAAUAUCUCAGUACGUUUGGUAAUAUUUACCUGGAUACACCUAGUAAAAGAAGCAAGAGGUAAAUGAAACAAAAGGCAAGAAAUAUUUCCUGGGAUUAAAUUUUUGCAGUUUAUCAUGUAUUAAUAUGCUCAAAAUAACUUUAUAAACAUUAAAUUUAGAAAAAUGGGGUCUCAAGACACCCAGUUCUAUCUUUUUCUCCAAAGUUCCCUCAGAUUUCAAUUCUAAAAUGAGUAGCUAAAGCCACAGGAAGGUAGACGUGUACUCAGCAUCAUUACUGGUCUUGGCCAGCAUAGUCCCCUAGGGACCAGAGCUAUGAGCUGGCCAUGAAGAGUAGUACUGGGUUUUGUUUCACUCACUAAGCAAGGAAAGGCUAAGAGAUUCUUGGGGAAUUAACAUCCUAAAAGAACACUUCAAGUCAACCCUGUUCUCUUCCAGCUAGUUUGACACAAAACUAAUGGUUCUAUGCACACGUUACCCUUCUGGAUUUCAUGUUGGCUCCAUCAUGUUUAUUAAAGGUAGAGAAGCCAAGUACAAGAUGUUUUGGAAACUAAAUACCUGGUGUUCUGACACAAUUUUUGGAUGAGCCAUGAGUUAGUAGAUUCGUCACAAACACUUGUCUGUUCACUCAGUGUUUACUGGGAAACAUGUUUUCUUCCCUCUCUCUCAUUUGGUUAAAAUAGGUUUUCUUUUUUUUUUCUCUCUCUGGGCCUUUGAGUGAAGUUGAAAGGUAUAGUUCUGCCAAAAUUCAGGUUGCAAAACAACUCUAAGUGACCUAAACUACUAUAGCAAGCAUGAAUCCCUGAAGCCCAUGCUUUCAACACUUAAGCAAGGGUCUUUCAAAUACCAGUGUCUGGCCUAUUCUCCAAUGAAAUAGGUACUUCAGGCUUUUCUCUCAGGGCUUCUUUCAGCAACCUACUUCCCAAAGCAGAAAAGUGGUAGUAGCAUUUAACAGGAUGAAUGCUGAAGAUUGUAUUUCUCCUCCAAAGAACAUAUUAUGUGAGGGCUUUAAUAAUUAAUUUAAAGUAUUUAUAACAUAGUAAUUUCUACCUAGAAUUCUCUGAUAACAUCUCUUUCUUUAGUUAUAAAAUGUAAUUUAGCCCAAACCGCAUGAUUGCUUUGGUUUUGGCACAGGAUUUUUUUGCCUUGAUUCUAGAGUUUUCAGAUGAUUCUAGGAAUCCUAACAAUACUUAACAUUUAUGGAGAAAAGUGCCAAGAAGUUGAGCCAGAUAUAGCAAAAAUGCUAUAUUUGCCAUGUAGCAUUUCCAAACCUUUUAGCACUUCUGUAAGAUAAGGUAUUACUGUUCUUAUUUUCCAUAUGGAGGUGUUGGCAGUCAGAGUAAUUAACUCAUUCAGACUCACAGCUGGUAAGUUACAGAGUCAAGAUUUGAACCCAUAUUUUCUGACUCCAGUCUGAUGCACCCUCCUCUGAGUUGGGUAAUCCAGUGCCCUUUCUUUCUUUCAAGUUUGCAAAACUUUGUUAUUGCUUAAGUGGGAAUAUGUAGAUAUCUUUGAAUCUAUACUUCAUAUUGAAAAAGGUAACAAAUUUUAGUUGAGGAAAAGAAUAGUCCACUCUGAGGAAUUUACUCUACAUGAUUUUAAAACUUCUUUUAUAAAAGUUAUGAUUAUUCCAUUUGGUUCUUCAUAGCAUAGAUUAGAUUAUUUUCAUAGUCUAAACCCUGGCCAUUUGUUCUACCUUUAUUAAGUCCCGCGUGUUAUGUCUUACUUUUUGAUUUGAUGUUUUGUGAUCUCUUCCCCUUAUUUAUUCUAAACUGCACACUUUAAAUUUAUUUCUCUCCUGAUUAAUUUAUUAACUCCAAUUUCACAUUUUUUUCUCAGAUAAUUUACACAGAAGAAGAAUAUUGUGGACUAAUAAUAGCAGAAAAGAUAAGA
rnacentral:lncRNA from 1 species